UUUAACUGAGCGUUCAGUUACUUGACGUAGACCCGAAACCGGGCGACCUACCCAUGAGCAGGAUGAAGCGAAAGUAAAAUUUCGUGGAGGUCCGAACCCACGAGCGUUGAAAAGCUCGGGGAUGACUUGUGGGUAGCGGUGAAAUUCCAAUCGAGCCCGGAGAUAGCUGGUUCUCCCCGAAAUAGCUUUAGGGCUAGCCUCAAGGUGAGAGAUACGGAGGUAGAGCACUGAAUGUCCUAGGGGGUAUUGCACCUACCGAAGACUAUCAAACUCCGAAUGCCGUCAUCUUAUACUUGGGAGUCAGACUGUGGGUGAUAAGAUUCAUAGUCGAAAGGGCAACAGCCCAGAUCGUCAGCUAAGGUCCCUAAAUGUAAGUUAAGUGGUAAAGGAUGUGGGAUUGCACAGACAACCAGGAUGUUGGCUUAGAAGCAGCCACUCAUUCAAAGAGUGCGUAAUAGCUCACUGGUCGAGUGAUCCUGCGCCGAAGAUUUCCGGGGCUAAAACUUACUACCGAAGCUACGGCAUCAGUAAUGAUGGGUAGGGGAGCUUCCCAUACGGGUUGAAGCAUGACCGUAAGGACAUGUGGACAGUAUGGGAGUGAGAAUGUUGGCAUGAGUAGCGAGAUGUGGGUGAGAAUCCCACAGGCCGUAAACCCAAGGUUUCCAGGGGAAGGUUCGUCCGCCCUGGGUUAGUCGGGACCUAAGCUGAGGCCGAAAGGCGUAGGUGAUGGACAACAG
rnacentral:rRNA from 1 species